UGACCAUCGAGUUUCAACCCCCCGGCUAUGUGCCAACCACCAGAGGAUCGCCAACCACCAGAGCAGGCUGCCCAGAGCCACUUCCAGCCUGGCCUUGAAUGCCUCCAGCGACGGGACAUCCACAACCUCCUUGGGCAACCUGUUCCAGUGCGUCACCACCCUCUGGGUGAAAAACUUCCUCCUAAUAUCUAACCUAAACCGCCCCUGUCUCAGUUUAAGACCAUCCCUCCUUGUCCUACCACUAUCCACCCUCAAAAACAGUCGUUCCCCUUCCAGUUUAUACGCUCCCUUCAAGUACUGGAAGGCCACAAUGAGCUCCCCCUGGAGCCUUCUCUUCUCCAAGCUAUACAAGCCCAGUUCCCUCAACCUUUCCUCAUAGGAGAGGUGCUCCUGCCCUCUGAUCAUCUUAGUGGCCCUCCUCUGGACACGCUCCAACAGCUCCACCCUUCCUCUACUGGGGGCCUGUAGAGCAAAUAAGGAUACGGAUAUAAGAAACUAUCGCCUUUGAAAAGGAAUAAUCAGAGAUGAACAGGAAGCUUACCCGUGUCCUAGGCUCGCCAAAAGGGCUCCAAGAGGAGUGAUCUUCAGAGAGCGAUCCUUCCUCCGUGGCAGUCAGCCCUUAAAUGGGGUUUAGAAGAGGUGGAGUUGCAGUUCAACAGGUCUCAUACAGGGCCCCAGGCCUGGGUGCAGUACUCCAGAUGGGGCCUCACAAGAGCUGAGUAGAGGGGGACAACCACCUCCCUCUCCCUGCUGGCCACCUCUUUCUUAACGCAGCCCAGAACACACUUGGCCUUCCGGGCUGCCAGCACACACUGCUGGCUCACGUCCAGCUUCUAAAAUCA
rnacentral:lncRNA from 1 species